UUGAGUCGUUUUGUUAAUAUAAAAAGUUUUUUGCUGUUUUAUGCUUUUAAUGUGUAUAUUUCAACAUAACUUUAUAUGAUUGUUAAUCUCCAUAGUAACAAAACUAUUUAAGCAAAAUCGUCCUCUAUAAUGAUGGAUACAAGUUUACCACCGUUUCCCAUCAUCUUUAAUGAUCCCUGGCUAAAUUCGGCUGUAUACUUUAUUAUUGGUUUGGUCGGUGCUUUUCUUCUUAUAAAUGUAGCUUUUUGGUGUAUUGUAAAUCUCAUCUCUUACUGCUACUCGUGCUACGCAGAUACACCAGACACCCGUGAUGAAUUUGAACCUUUGUAUGAACCCACUGCCACCUAUUAAAGAAUGCAGAAUUCCUCUUGUACCCACUUCCUCCAGCAAAAGAUGUGAAAUGCUUUAUUCAUGGGUAGUUUUUAAAAAUGCCAUUACUAUAAAACCCAAUUCUUUUGAGUUUUGUUAUUUAAAAUCAAAAUCUCACAUCACUUUGGAAGGGCAACAAGAAAUAAUGCCUUCAUCUAGAAGAACAAGUAUUGUGCUAUUCAAAUGUAUCACCAUCCAGUAUUAUACUCAAUACUCCAAAAAAAAUCAUACACCAGUCAACUGAUCAGUUGAGGAUGAGAACUCGUAGUGUUGUAAGAUCAGACUCGAGUAAUAAGGUCAUUUAUCACACAACCAUAACUACAUCUUAUACAAAAAUAAUCUGAAGCCCAAACUCAUUGAAUAAACUCAUUUAACAUAGAGUGAUUGUUAUUUAUCAGCGAAUUAUAAAAGAUUUAUUUCCGUUAUUUUCCUCCUCAGACCACUUUAAAUUAACUAGUUCAUAGGUCUUAUGAAGUUGGCAUGUAUUCAACAAUUAAAAUGGAUAGAAUUCAUCAUUUAGAAUAUAUAUUUUGUGAAACCUGAAUCCUUCAUGAACUUGAUUGAUCAAGAAAAAUGCUUUAUUGUAGUAUUAUCAAGAUAUGUGAUAAAGUAAAAUUACAUGAGUACUAU